AUUGAACGCUGGCGGCAGGCCUAACACAUGCAAGUCGAGCGGAUGAAGGGAGCUUGCUCCUGGAUUCAGCGGCGGACGGGUGAGUAAUGCCUAGGAAUCUGCCUGGUAGUGGGGGAUAACGUCCGGAAACGGGCGCUAAUACCGCAUACGUCCUGAGGGAGAAAGUGGGGGAUCUUCGGACCUCACGCUAUCAGAUGAGCCUAGGUCGGAUUAGCUAGUUGGUGGGGUAAAGGCCUACCAAGGCGACGAUCCGUAACUGGUCUGAGAGGAUGAUCAGUCACACUGGAACUGAGACACGGUCCAGACUCCUACGGGAGGCAGCAGUGGGGAAUAUUGGACAAUGGGCGAAAGCCUGAUCCAGCCAUGCCGCGGGUGUGAAGAAGGUCUUCGGAUUGUAAAGCACUUUAAGUUGGGAGGAAGGGCAGUAAGUUAAUACCUUGCUGUUUUGACGUUACCAACAGAAUAAGCACCGGCUAACUUCGG
rnacentral:rRNA from 1 species